rnacentral:lncRNA from 10 species
GUCUGCCUUACUUAGUCCACCAGUUCAAAUGGCUGAUGUCUUUCAAACUAUUAUUAUUAUUAUUACAUAAAGAUGUAUAUAUUAUAUAUCUAUAUGUAAUAAUAGAUAAUAAUGAUAGUGUGAAAGCCAUCAGCCUCAAUAAAAUCCAACUUUGUAAAAAUCCAGUAUCAAUUAUCUAUAUGUUGGAUGUUAUAUACAUGUAUAAUAUACAUAUAAUAUAUAGAUAUAUAAUAAUAUAAUAAUUAUGUUAUAUUAUAUAAUUAAGAUAUUUAGCCAGUCUCUUGUUUUAUGUAUAUAUGUUACAUAUGUACAAUAUACAUAUAAUAUUAUGUAUGUAAUACUAUAAAUAUAUUUAAUGGUAUAAAAUAUUAUAAAUUAUAUAUAAAUAUAUAAAUAGGAAAUAUAUAUGUAUAUAUUUUUUAAAAUAUAUUUAUAUAUUUAGUAUAUAAAUAUAAAUAAGAGAUAUACAUUAAUCUACAUUUAUAAUAUAAAUAAAUAAGAGAUAUAUAGGAGAUUGUUAAUAUAUAGGAGAUAUAUAUUUAUAGGUAUAAAAUAUUUAUAAAUAGGAGAUAUAUAUUUAUGUACAUACAUAAACAAUAGGAAAUGUUGUUUCUAUUGUUUCUGUUCCUCUGGAAAACCCUGAUUAAUGCACCUUGAUGUGAGGCUGUUGGUUUUUAAAGCCUCACAAUUAAAGCUGUUGGUGGAAAUGCAGAGGGGGAGGUGGAAAUAGUGUGAGUCAAAACACCACAGAGCUCCCUGUUAUUACUGAGAGUCAGCCAUUUUUUUUCUGAAAAAAACACAAAGAUGCUUCUUGGGUUGCUUUGGGGCUUUGUUUCAUGUGUAGAGUUCUGAAAACAAAGUUGAUUUUGGCAGAUUUUUCCAGUGUUCUCAUUGCUUUUAUGGAGGUGUAGGUUUUUGGAGGUCCUAACCCCACUGACACAGAAGCGCUCCUCUGCAGAUCUAAUUACGUCUCUUGGUCUCUCCCAGAAUUUGCCUCCAUACGCUCAUGUUUAUUGAGUGUCUACGAAGGGCUCCACGCUGGACGUGGGGAGGGUGAGACAGAGAAUGAGUACGACAUGGAGCCUCCGCCCAGGCGUCCUGGGCACCUGCACAUAGGGUGUGCAGCCUGCAGCAAGGGGCAUCUGGACGCCAGAUGAGCCAAGUGCAGCCAAGGAGAAGUAGCCCUGGCUCUGCUGGCGGCAUCAGGGAUGCUGCUUGGAAGGGUUUGAAGAGCUCCAAGCCAACACAGCGAUAGAUAGAGGAUGUCAGCGGGCAGAGGGUAACCAGGACCCACAACAGCGUGGUGCCCGUGAAGACGGCAGGCCACUGUGGUUUUCAGAAGGGUGCAGCCCAGGAAUACACGUUCCUCGGGACCCUGAGACUUCUGGUAGACUCCCCACCCAGGCAACAGGGGAGUUGUGUGGAGUCCCCACUCUGUUACCAUGGGCCCCAUGGAGAACCCUGGAAGAGAGGCUGUAGCUGUCAGGGAGUGGCAGAGCUGUGGAGCAUAUUGAUUAAUGGAUCAAUGUCAAGUUGGAGGGAAGUCUCCAGUGGCACCUGUCCACUCCCCAUCCUGGUCCGUUUCUAUCAAUGACUUGGAUGAGCUGUAACAGACCUGCUUGUCAAAUGUGCAGAUCAAAGCUCACAGGGGAGGCUAAUGUGGUGGAGGAAAUUGUCCAGACAGAAAAGACCUCUUGACAGGCCGAAACAAUGGACUGAAGUGAACAAGAUGGAAUUGAGUAGGGUUAAAAGUGAAGCCCUGCUUGUUCCCUGGAUUAAAACAAAAACCAACCGCAGGUAAACAAAACGGUUUGUGAUUCAUGCCGUGUACACCUGCGGGUGUUGCUGGCCCCAGCCCUGAGCCCAGAUCAUCAGACGGGCUGCCCCGCACGCGAGGGACCCCAGCCCCCUACAGAGGGGCCAGCCUGGGAAAGGGCAAAGUGCACCCACUGCAGGAUUGCAGGAUUGCAACCGCGUCCGGGGUUACACUCCCUUUCAGUGGAUGCUGACCACGAGGAACACAUCCAGAGCAGAGUAACCAGUGCCAAGUGUGUGUUGGAAACGUGCAGGUCAGACGGAGGGCGACAGGCUGUUGGAAGCUCAGAGCAGUCCUCCACCCUCUCAGCGCCUCUGCUGGGAAAGAGGCUUCUAAUGACUCUGGAAGAAGAACACUCCCAUGUGGAUGAAGAUCUUUCUCCUGUCCUGCAGAAAAACAUCCUCACGAGCUCGAACAGGCUGGAUGUGUACUGGGGACACAGGUCCACUGGGUGGAGAGACAGCGAGGCAGAUUUUUGGCUGAAUGGAAGGACAGCUUUUCUGACAAGAGCAGUUAGCUGUGGCAUGAGCUGCCUCCUGGGGAGCGAGCCCUGUUGCUGGCAAUGAUGGGCAGAGGCUAAGCCAUCUGUUGCGUCUCCAGAGGACCCCUUCCCCCAAUGCAGACGGAGCCUCCCGUCCAAACCUUCAUUUUACAGAUGGAAAGGCUGAGGCUGGAAGAGCCGGAGCAUGCCCAGAAUGGCCCAUGUUAGCUCUCCAGGGUCUGUGGAAUUCCACUUUCAGAGCUCUUCUCUUGAGGCCAAGACGAGAACUACGUGAGACACGUGGAAAUGGAGGAAGUGUGUGUGUUGGGACCUGGAGAGGCCGGGGGGAAUGGAGCACCUCACCCUCUCUGAGUCAGGAUCCAAACGAGAAGUAGAAAGUGAAAGACCAGAGUCACAACAUCUGCACUGUGCCCUGAGCCAUGCAGUACUCAGGUUGGAUGGAGGACCUUGCUACAGCUUCAUCCCAAAUAAAUGCAGCAUCUGGAAAAUGGCAGGGUGGGGGCUCCUUCCAGGGGCAGAAUGAGCUCCACUAGGCCAGGCACAGAGGGUCGGGGCCAAGGUCCACUGUGGCCCUGGGAGGCCAGACAGGGAGAGCCCAGCAGCUCGGAGCCACCUGGGCGCCAUGGAGUGUGUUCACUGAAUCCACGCCUCUUCCCUGGGAGAAGUGGGUGGGCAGAGGGGAGGGUGGAGGAUUCCUUCCAAUACCCCUGGAAGGUGAAGGUUCAGGUUCCUGUGUGACACUGGGAGGCUGAUAUGAUUUGGCUGUGUCCCCACCCAAAUCUCACAGGAGCCUGAUAUGGUUUGACCAUGUCCCCACCCAAAUCUCACCUCGAGUUGUAGCUCCCACAAUUCCCACUUGCCAUGGGAGGAACCCGGUGGGAGGAGAUUGAAUUAUGGGGGUGGGUCUUUCCUGUGCUGUUCUCAUUAUAGUGAAUGAGUCUCAGGAGACUGAAUUUUAAAAAUGGGAGUUUCCCUGAACAAUCUCUUUGCCUAUUACCAUCCACGUAAGAUGUGACUUGCUCUUCCUUGCCUUCCACCAUGAAUGUGAGUGGAAGUGGAACUGUAAGUCCAUUAAACCUCCCAGCCAUGUGGAACUGUAAGUCCAUUAAACCUCUUUCUUUUGUAAAUUGCUUAGUCUCAGGUAUGUCUUUAUCAGCAGCGUGAAAACAGACUAAUACAGAGGUGGAUGAAAGUCUUCCUCCUGCCCUGCGGAUUCCUGUCCACACAAGCUCAUACAGGCUGGAUGUGUACCAGGGACACAGGCCCCUCAGCAUCAAUCCCUAAGCCUUCAGGCCUGAUCUCCCACCCUGGAACAGGACCCGGUCCAGAGGUGCGUGAGGGCAGAGCCCUGGGCAGGACGGCCCAGCUGACCUGUGGGGCUGCUCCAGGUUCCUGUGUGGCCCCGGAGCCCAUCAGUGGGCACCAGUGUCCUUCAACCCAGCAUAGAGUGAGUUGCC